rnacentral:rRNA from 1 species
AACGAACGCUGGCGGCUGGCUUAACACAUGCAAGUCGAACGGUUGUAGCAAUACAGCAGUGGCAGACGGGUGAGUAACACGUGGGAACCUUCCUAGGGGUACGGAACAACUCAGGGAAACUUGAGCUAAUACCGUAUACGUCCGUGAGGAGAAAGAUUUAUCGCCCUUAGACGGGCCCGCGUCGGAUUAGCUAGUUGGUGGGGUAACGGCCUACCAAGGCGACGAUCCGUAGCUGAUCUUAGAGGAUGAUCAGCCACACUGGGACUGAGACACGGCCCAGACUCCUCGGGGAGGGAGCGUGGGGGAAUCUUGGAAAAUGGGCUCAAGCCUUAACCAGCCAUCCCGGGGGAGUGAAGAAGGUCUUCGGAUUGUAAAGCUCUUUGGCAAGGGACGAUAAUGACGGUACCUGGAGAAUAAGCCCCGGCAAACUUCGUGCCAGCAGCCGCGGUAA